rnacentral:rRNA from 1 species
CUUUUUUUUGCGGUGACACGCANAUCAAUACAACUUUCAACAACGGAUCUCUUGGCUCUCGCAUCGAUGAAGAACGUAGCGAAAUGCGAUACGUAAUGUGAAUUGCAGAAUUCAGUGAAUCAUCGAAUCUUUGAACGCACCUUGCGCCCCUUGGCAUUCCGAGGGGCACACCCGUUUGAGUGUCGUGAAAUCUUCAAAACCUUUU